CUUCAUCUUCAUGAUCUGGGUACCAUUAUUUCCCCCAUUUUACAGAGGAAGAAAUUGAGGCACAGAGAGAUUCAAUACCUGGCCCAAGGUCUGGAGGUUUGAAGUUGGAGAUGAGGCGUGCAGGACUAGAGGUUGGGGCUGAAUGGCUCUCCUCAUGGAGGCCACGAGGAUUGUCCUGUCUUGUCCUUUUCCAGCUCAGCAGCCCCCUGCUUUUCUUGUUUCUUGGACAUUUGUCUCCGUCUUCAAAAUAAGAAGACCGCAUCUUCUGUCUCUUUUCCUUGCUUAAAGGACCUGUGGGGUUGUAUUGGGCGCUCUUGAGUUAAACAAAACCCCCCACACACAAAACAAAACAGUAUAUGGU
rnacentral:lncRNA from 1 species